AUUGAACGCUGGCGGCAUGCUUUACACAUGCAAGUCGAACGGUAACAGGCCGCAAGGUGCUGACGAAUGGCGAACGGGUGAGUAAUGCAUCGGAACGUGCCCAGUCGUGGGGGAUAACGCAGCGAAAGCUGCGCUAAUACCGCAUACGAUCUCUGGAUGAAAGCGGGGGACCGAAAGGCCUCGCGCGAUUGGAGCGGCCGAUGUCAGAUUAGGUAGUUGGUGGGGUAAAGGCCCACCAAGCCAACGAUCUGUAGCUGGUCUGAGAGGACGACCAGCCACACUGGGACUGAGACACGGCCCAGACUCCUACGGGAGGCAGCAGUGGGGAAUUUUGGACAAUGGGCGCAAGCCUGAUCCAGCAAUGCCGCGUGCAGGAAGAAGGCCUUCGGGUUGUAAACUGCUUUUGUACGGAACGAAACGGUCCGGGUUAAUACCCUGGGCUAAUGACGGUACCGUAAGAAUAAGCACCGGCUAACUACGUGCCAGCAGCCGCGGUAAGAC
rnacentral:rRNA from 1 species